rnacentral:lncRNA from 1 species
CACCAGCCCAGCUGCGGGAGCUCUGCAGAAGUUUCACUUUUUGUUUUAGGGGCUUCCCUUGACUUUCCCUUUGGUUUCAGACCCUCAGAUUCCUCCCCCAGCCCGGGGACAGGAGUGAAAGGCGGCUUUGCACAAGAGAGCAGUCUGACUUUGUGACCCCCA